rnacentral:lncRNA from 1 species
UUUGAAUCCUAAGCUCACAUGAACUGAUUUCAUAAAUAUCCUUUCAUUUCCUCUGGCUUUUCUAAUUUAUAUAAUUGUAUUAGUUUGUUCUUAUAGUCAAACACUUAAUCACAAAUGGAAUUAAAUAUGGUAUACAUUUUUUCUGAUGCAAUUAGAAAAGAUACAGGAAAACCUUGAAAUUAGAACACUAAAAGUUAGUAAUACAGUUUAAAUGUCAGAUUAGAAAUGGAGUCUCCCCUUUGAAAGUUACAAAAAUCCUUAUUUAUUCAUCAAAAACUUCCUAUCCAGAAUUAAUAACCAUCCAGAUGGAAACAAUCUGUUAUAAGUUUUUGGUUGCUGACAUACUUUUUAAAGCAGGGAAAGAACUUUCUAUCUCCAAAGUACUUUGUUUGGCUAAUUCUAGGAGAGAAUCACCUAGAUUCUCACUCUCACUCUCAAGGACCAAAAUGAUCCAAGCACAAAUGACAACAGUAUUAUCUAAGUGACACAUCUGGCUCCUUCUCAUGAUUUUGCCUUUAUACACACUUCUUGAAGACAUAGCUAUACUUGUCCCAUGAUAUUUCUUUGACUUACAGUGUGAUACCCAUGGGGUGUGGAAGUCAUAGAAGGUCAGAGACCACAGGGAAUGACAUGCUUCCAUCAAUGACCAGAUGACGAUUUGGCUUAAAUCACCACCAAAAAAUGAGAGGCACUCCAUCCAAGUCUCCUAACGCUUUGCCAAUUAAAGAAGGGAUUAAAACAAAACAGAGUGAUUGGAUGAGGAAUAUUAAAGGUAAAAAUGAAGGAAACUCAGGAAGAUAAAUCAAAAUGGAUUUAGCACGGACAAAUAGAAAAGAAAACUUAUAAAUGCAAGUCAGGACUUAGCAAAGACACCCCACAGAGUUUGGAGAAAGUAUGCGAUAAUUUCUUACACAUUCACUAUUGGCUACAUCCAUAACACACAGUGACAUGGAAAGCCCAGGAAAGGGCUCAAAUGAACAUUAAUGGCAGAAAUGUUAGCAACGGAGCAAGAGCAAGAAGGCUUCCAGGAGAAUUCUGCCCAUGGGAGAGCCAAAGGGAAAGAAGGCUGAAGGACAUUUGGUAACAGUCUUCACAUACUUACUGGAUCUGCCAAUAAGGCUCUCAUUUAUUAUGCUUCUUCUUAUCCUAGAUAAUCUUUGGAUCUUUCUUAAUGUGAGACACUAGGAAAGGUGUGAUGAAAAGAUAGUAGUUUGGCUCAGGCUAAAUGGAAGGAAUUCAGAUGUAAAGUGUUCACUGCGGUAUACCAAAGGAUGCUGUAGAAUGUCUCUGCCUGAGGUCUUCAAGAGGAGAAUGGGGUUUUCCGUGGGAAUGUGACUGAUAUGGUUUGGGAGGGUAGAAGGAACAGCUUAAGAAAGCUCUUGAAGUUGUUUCCACUCAUCCUAGCUCUUAGAAAUGAGAAAACACUCAGGAAGAGAGAAUGAACACCUAAGAGGCAGAAUCUGACUCUAGUUGAGUAUUUCUCAACCUUUUUUAUUAUCAUCAUCCUAAGGAGUUUUUAAAGAAAUUUUAUUCCUAAUGAUCCUCAUGAAACUUUAAUACCACAUAUACACUUUAUAUUUGUUUAUGUACUAUGGCCCCCUGAAGGGCCACAACCCAUUGUAAAUUCUAAGAUUCCUUCCCUCACCAAAAAAACCCCACAGUUUUUGCACCCUUGAAUAAUCACCUUCAUUGAGAAUGCAUGCUCUCUAAAAUAAACCAUGGGUCUGAAUGGGAAGUCAUUGAGGAUGGGAGCAAAAAACAAACAAACAAAACGAAAAACAUAUUUCAGCUCUGGCUACAGGGACCGUACAAUUUCUCAUCAGCUAGCAUACUAAUGUCCUGCCCGUCUUACUGUUCCUUCUGUUAAACAGGAAGUCAUGAAUCCUUUAUCAUUGUUACAUCAUUUAACUGCAAUGGUUAUAAUCUUUUGGAGACUGUGGACCGCUUUGAGAAUAUGAAGAAAGGAAUGCACAUGUGCACAGCCUCAAACUCUAUAAAACGUGUGCAUGUUGAAUUUCAGAGCUUCCUAGUGAAUUAUGUACCUUUAAAAUGAAUGAAUCGGGCAGACAACACCUAAACCCACUGGUCAAGCUUAAUAUCAUGACAAGAGACGAUAGACAUUAUAUACUUCCUGAUAAAUGCAAUAGGAAGGAAACAUCACUUACGUAGUAUUCUUCCUAAAUAAAAAAAAAAAUAAAGUAUAACUGAGUCUAAUAAAGAGGAAACAAUCAGAAAAAAAAUCCAGAUUGUAAAACAUUCUACCAAAAAAACAGCCUGAACUCCUUUAUGUCAGUGUCAUCACACACACAACACACACACUCCACCACCAUGCCACACACAUACAUACAGAAGAACUCUAACCCAUUAACUAAAGAGAAUGACAACAAAUGCCAUGUGUGAUUCCUAAUUGGAUCCUGGAUAAACAACAAUAUCAAAAGCUAUAAACAUUUUGGGGGCAAUAGACAAAGUUUUUUAAGGUUUUAUGAUGUCUGCAACAUAUUUUGAAAUGGUUCACCUAGAAGAAUGUAUAUUUCCUGAGAGAAAGAGAAAAUAUUUGGAAAAAGUAAAUAAUUAAAAAAAUGUUAACAACUGAUGCACAUAAGUGAAGGGGACAUGAAUGUUCAUCGUAAUCUUUUCUUUUGAAAUUUCCACUUUGAAACUUCUCAAAAUAAAAUGAAAAAAAAAAAAAAAACAGCUGGCGGAGACAUGUAAUACCCAGCUUAAAAAAAAAAAAAAAAAAGUGGGAAAUGAAGGAGAGCCUGUCAGGUGAGGAGGAAGAAGCAGAAUGUCAGGCUCAAAGCCAGAGAGCUGGAGGUGCUUGAAGCAUUGCCAGGAGCUCAGAUCCCCCUCUGCAAUGAGAUGUACUUAGGAUGUAGUCAGGUCAAAGAGAUAAAAAAUUGCCUGUGAUAAUUUUCUUUAGAAUUUGCCAAACAAAGUUCUGCAGGAAUAGGAAUACUCUAAUUAAAAAAUAAGAGCAGUUUGCCAGAACUUAUCCUAGAAGAGUUGAUUAAUGUAAUUAGAAAUAUA